ACCCCAGAUAGCAGCUGAUUCCGGGGCGGAUCCGCCCUCAGGUCGCUAGAUCCGCCCUACUGUCGCACUCGGUUUGCUCAUGUGAUCCGGAUCCGCCCCGGAUCCGGAUCAAACAGCAUCUGGAUCACGCAGCGGUGUUAACUUUGCCCCAGGCGGAUGUUCCAAAUCGUGCUCCUCCUACUUCUGCGCCUCGACUUUCCAAACUGGUAUUUUCAAACCUGCAGCUCUUCGCGCCAGACGUACUACUUAGUUUUACAGAAGUGUUCAUCAGGAUCGAUCUCUACAAUUCAGGUAAGCACACAUUUUUUUACAGUAGCAGUCGUGCCACAAAGCUGGUACGGUGGUAGUUUCUGCGUUUGGCCAAAUUACCCGAGGGACGAAAGGGUGGACAAGGCUGUCCGAGGUGCCGAAGAACCUCAACCUGACUGGCAGACACAUGAUAUGAUUACUUGGUGGCAAGGCGAUGGUUAAAAAAAUACAUGUCCUGUGACACAUCCGAUCUCCAUUCAGAAGAGGAGGCAAUUCCUAAAAGGAGAAAGCCAAUGCCUGUCAGGACAGCGAACAAGCCAGGGGUACACACCAACCUGGCGAGGGGCGAGGUGUGGUUCAGAUGCCAUUGCCUGCUGUGGUGAUGUCAAAUCUCUUAAUCGUUACCUUUUUUAAAUGUUAUUCUAAUGUUUUUUAUAGCUGCUCAAGUUUAAAUCCUGGCCAUGCUGGAGAUGCUUACACAGCAGGUCCAUCAAUUAACUGGCAAAGUUGACAGCUUUGUUCGCCCCAGUGUGAUACAAAUGUCUGGUCAAGAAGUGGAGUGGAGAGACCCGUUUCCGUUGACCACAAUGGAGGAAGUGGACCUGUUUGAGCAACAGCUCAAAGAUCCAGCCAACGCUAUAAUGAAGAAGAGUGUGACUUCAUCACCAGCAGGACAGCGAACAAGCCAUGCAGGGUACACACCAACCUGGCGAGGGGCGAGGUGUGGUUCAGACGCCAUCGCCUGCUGUGCUCAAAGAUCCAGCCAACGCUAUAAUGAAGAAGAGUGAUUUCCUCCCUGGGAACAAUCGGAGGACAUGAUGUAAAACGUGCAACGUGGAACAUCCUCGCACGCAUGUUCACUGAUGAUGUUGGCAAAUCCAUAAAUUGGAAAGGGAUUAAUGGAAAAAAAUCUUUCAAUCUAAUGACGUCCAAGACUU